rnacentral:rRNA from 1 species
UUUUGAUUUAAAAAUUAUACUUGAGUAGUAAUAGAUAUGGUCUUGAAACUUAAAGAAUUUGGCGGUAUUUUAGUCUUUUUAGAGGAAUCUGUCCCGUAAUUGAUAAUCCACAUUGAACCUUACUUGAUUUAAUUUAAAUUUGUAUACCGCUGUUUAUUGAAAAUCUUUUUAGAGUAAAUUUUCUUGAUAUUUUAUUAUAUAAUAUUUCAGGUCAAGGUGCAGUUUAUAAUCAAGGGGAGAUGGAUUACAAUAUUUGAAAAUAAAUGGAUUAUAAAUUGAAAUUUUUAUAUGAAGGUGGAUUUAAUAGUAAUUAUUUAUAUAUUAUUAUUUUGAUUUUGGCUCUAAAAUGUGU